AGCCGGAAUCGCUAGUAAUCGCGGAUCAGAAUGCCGCGGUGAAUACGUUCCCGGGUCUUGUACACACCGCCCGUCACACCAUGGGAGUCGGAAAUGCCCGAAGUCUGUGACCCAACCGUAAGGAGGGAGCAGCCGAAGGCAGGUCGGAUGACUGGGGUGAAGUCGUAACAAGGUAAC
rnacentral:rRNA from 1 species